CACUCCAAAGUUCUGGAUCCGCUAGUGGUCUAUAGUACAGUCAAAAGCAUUACAUUCGCCUAUCUUGGCUUAGAAUUAGAUCAAAUAAUAAAGCGUUUUUUUUUUAUUUUGUUUCUUGUUGCAUUUUUUAUUUUCUUUUUCAACGAGAUUAAACAGCCUUGUUUCUAAGGAACUCUUUUGCGUUACGUCACGUAUUAUUGAAGUGUAAACAUCAAUGCCAUCACUAUCGACUAUGAGACUCUAUGAGUAGUAUGAAAAUUGAGUAGGCAACAUCUAUAUCAAUUAUAUUGUACUGUAAUAAUUAUAUUUAAAUCUAAGUAUUUGAUAAUAGAUUUAAUUGAAAGGCUAAAUUUUUGGUUUUUUCAUAAUCGAGAAUGGCUACAUCUGGAGUUGAUUGCUUCAGCAAAACAAUACUUAAACUAAACCACCUAAUUGGUGAUGACCUGGUACUAUAUUUGCUGGAAACAGCAGGCUCCAAAGGACUGACAACAACGGAACUGACUGGUAUGAUCUGGUCUGGACUUAAACAAAUGAUUGUUGAUCCGCAAAAUGUUAUAAAACAAAGAAUUAGUACCAUCCUUGAUGUACUUGAAGAACAGGAAGUAAUUACCCAGUACAGAAGAAGGUUCUGUUUGGAUGGUGAACAAGUUCUGAAACUGACUGUAGACACCCUUGUUGAAUCUUCAACUAUUCUAUUUUUGAUUGGAACAAGUGAAAGGGGACUAACCAUACACCAAAUUUCCAGAGAGGUUUGGAACGUAUGGAAUUCAGUCUUGAAAGGAAAGAAGAACCAAGUGUUUGCCAAAGCUAUUGACAAGGUUAAUGAAUUAGCACAAGACACCCUCAUAUUCAAAGAAAGAAGCCAUUUUUUUUUACUAUAGCCAUACAUUCCUGUUAUGUAUACAAACAAUUCCUUCCCUCAGUGUAACAGAGAUAGACUUCACAUUUUUCACACAUAUUAUUUGUUUUUUGGCUACACAGUUGACAAUCAUCUUUUUUGUGGAGAAAGUGGUGGUAACCAUCUGUUCUAACAUCUGUUUCUGGCAUGGCUUUUCUUGCAGACUUUUUUUUCAAAGCAGGUUAGAUCUAUAGUAGUUUAUUUAUUUCGGAUAUUACAUGAAUUCGGACAUUCGCUGUUUUUUGUGGUCAUUAAAUAAUUAUUUUAAUAUGUAUUAUAAAACAAGCGCGCUGUAUAAUGUGCUUGUCCAUUUUCCAAUGAAUCUGACCCAUUUUCCUUCCAUUUAGCUGUCUUUUUAUGUAAGAAAAACGAAUUUCAAAUUUGUUAGUCAUGUUGUUGUUUUUUCCUAUGUUACCCGGAUGACUUUACCUCUUCCUAGAGUUAAGACUAUAUUUUUUGAUUGGCUAAGUCUAUACUAAUGAGCCCGGCAAUAUCUAUUCUGUUUUUGGAGCUAAUUUAUUUGAUUGAUAAGCCAAGUUUUCUAAUUCCAUACCAAAAAAAAAUGAAUACGGUGUCCGAAUUAAAUUACGAUUUUCUUGCCAAAAUUUAUUUCGGACAGCCAGUUUUGGACAUCAAUAAAAAUGAUCUUAUAUUAUA